rnacentral:rRNA from 1 species
UACGAAGGGGGCUAGCGUUGCUCGGAAUCACUGGGCGUAAAGCGCACGUAGGCGGCUUUUUAAGUCAGGGGUGAAAUCCUGGAGCUCAACUCCAGAACUGCCUUUGAUACCGAGAAGCUCGAGUCCGGGAGAGGUGAGUGGAACUGCGAGUGUAGAGGUGAAAUUCGUAGAUAUUCGCAAGAACACCAGUGGCGAAGGCGGCUCACUGGCCCGGUACUGACGCUGAGGUGCGAAAGCGUGGGGAGCAA